AAGAUCGAUGAUGACGACCUCAUCAGUUCUAACUUGAACGGAUUGGACUCCGAAUACAAUCUGUUUGUUUCCUCUCUAUCAGUAAAGGAAUCAUUGUCUCUAGGUGAUCUCUACGCUCAGCUUCUUUCCUUUGAAG